CGGGUGAGUAACACGUGAGUAACCUGCCCCAGGCUUUGGGAUAACCCCGGGAAACCGGGGCUAAUACCGGAUAUGACCAUCUGUCGCAUGGUGGGUGGUGGAAAGAUUUUUUGGCUUGGGAUGGGCUCGCGGCCUAUCAGCUUGUUGGUGGGGUGAUGGCCUACCAAGGCGGCGACGGGUAGCCGGCCUGAGAGGGCGACCGGCCACACUGGGACUGAGACACGAUAACAGACUCCUACGGGAGGCAGCAGUGGGGAAUCUUGCACAAUGGGCGGAAGCCUGAUGCAGCGACGCCGCGUGAGGGAUGACGGCCUUCGGGUUGUAAACCUCUUUCAGCAGGGACGAAGCGUUUGUGACGGUACCUGCAGAAGAAGCGCCGGCCAACUACGUGCCAGCAGCCGCGGUAAGACGUAGGGCGCAAGCGUUGUCCGGAUUUAUUGGGCGUAAAGAGCUCGUAGGCGGCUUGUCGCGUCGACUGUGAAAACCCGUGGCUCAACUGCGGGCUUGCAGUCGAUACGGGCAGGCUAGAGUUCGGUAGGGGAGACUGGAAUUCCUGGUGUAGCGGUGAAAUGCGCAGAUAUCAGGAGGAACACCGGUGGCGAAGGCGGGUCUCUGGGCCGAUACUGACGCUGAGGAGCGAAAGCGUGGGGAGCGAACAGGAUUAGAUACCCUGGUAGUCCACGCUGUAAACGUUGGGCGCUAGGUGUGGGGGGCCUCUCCGGGUUCUCUGUGCCGCAGCUAACGCAUUAAGCGCCCCGCCUGGGGAGUACGACCGCAAGCUAAACUCAAGGGAAUUGACGGGGGCCCGCA
rnacentral:rRNA from 1 species